GCUUAUCUUAGUGGCGGACGGGUGAGUAACGCGUGAGCAACCUGCCUUUCAGAGGGGGAUAACGUCUUGAAAAGGACGCUAAUACCGCAUGAUAUUAUGGAGCCACAUGGCUCUAUAAUCAAAGGAGCAAUCCGCUGAAAGAUGGGCUCGCGUCCGAUUAGGUAGUUGGCGGGAUAACAGCCCACCAAGCCGACGAUCGGUAGCCGGACUGAGAGGUUGAACGGCCACAUUGGGACUGAGACACGGCCCAGACUCCUACGGGAGGCAGCAGUGAGGGAUAUUGGUCAAUGGGGGAAACCCUGAACCAGCAACGCCGCGUGAGGGAUGACGGCCUUCGGGUUGUAAACCUCUGUCCUCUGUGAAGAUAAUGACGGUAGCAGAGGAGGAAGCUCCGGCUAACUACGUGCCAGCAGCCGCGGUAAUACGUAGGGAGCAAGCGUUGUCCGGAUUUACUGGGUGUAAAGGG
rnacentral:rRNA from 1 species